rnacentral:lncRNA from 1 species
GAGCUUCUACUGUAAGUGAAUUUCGUUUGAACUUCUAUUGCAGACAGACUUCAGCUGAGCUUCUACAAUAAGAAGUCUCCAUCCGAGCUUCCAUGGCAACCGAUCUCUGUUCGAGCUUCAACAGUAAGCGGCCUCCUUCCAAACUCCUACAAGAACUAGAUUCCAUCCGAACUUCUACAAUAGAAUUAAAUUCCAGACUCUUCCAGCGGUCAACCUUCCACAGUGCCCUCAAGACUCCUCCAGCAGAUGAACUUCCACAAUAUCUUUCGAACUCCAC